UACGUAGGGGGCAAGCGUUGGUCCGGAAUCAUUGGGCGUAAAGAGCGUGUAGGCGGUCCGGUCAGUCGGUUGUGAAAGUACAAGGGCUCAACCCUUGAAUGCCGGCCGAUACUGCCGGGCUAGAGUCCGGAAGAGGUGAGUGGAAUUCCUGGUGUAGCGGUGAAAUGCGCAGAUAUCAGGAGGAACACCGGUGGCGAAGGCGGGUCUCUGGGCCGAUACUGACGCUGGAGGAGCGAAAGCGUGGGGAGCGAACAGG
rnacentral:rRNA from 1 species